AAUAAGACAAGACCCUAUGGAGCUUUAAUUUAUUAAUGCAAACAAAACUCAAAUAAGCCCAUAGGCCUUAGACUACUGUCUCUGCAUUAAAAAUUUUGGUUGUGGUGACCUUGGAGCAUAAUCUAACCUCCAAGCAAUCUAUGCUAAGACUAAACCAGUUUAAGCGAAUUACUAUACAUAUAUUUACCCAAUAAUUUGAUGAACGGAAUAAGUUACCCUAGAGAUAACAGCGCAAUCCUAUUCUAGAGUCCAUAUCGACGACAGGGUUUAUGACCUUGAUGUUGGAUCAGGACAUCCUAAUGAUGUAGCCGCUAUCAAGGGUUCAUUUGUUCAACAAUUAAAGACCUACGAGAUCCGAGUCCAGACCAGAGUAAUCCAGGUCAGUUUCUAUCUAUU
rfam:Papio anubis isolate 1X1155 chromosome 10, whole genome shotgun sequence.